rnacentral:piRNA from 1 species
UACUCUGUGUGCGUUGGUGACCAUCAUGCU